UGCUGGUCUGAGUGCAGUGGUUUUCACAACUAGUCGAUCACAACCAGUUACAGAUUUCCUUGUUCCUUCUCCACUCCCAGUGUUUCACUUGACUAGCAAAAG
ensembl:misc_RNA Y_RNA Y RNA